rnacentral:rRNA from 1 species
UACGAAAGGGGCUAGCGUUGCUCGGAAUCACUGGGCGUAAAGGGUGCGUAGGCGGGUCUUUAAGUCAGGGGUGAAAUCCUGGAGCUCAACUCCAGAACUGCCUUUGAUACUGAGGAUCUUGAGUUCGGGAGAGGUGAGUGGAACUGCGAGUGUAGAGGUGAAAUUCGUAGAUAUUCGCAAGAACACCAGUGGCGAAGGCGGCUCACUGGCCCGAUACUGACGCUGAGGCACGAAAGCGUGGGAGCAAACAGGG